rnacentral:rRNA from 1 species
AUACGGAGGGUGCAAGCGUUAUUCGGAAUCACUGGGCGUAAAGGACGCGUAGGCGGGUUGGCAAGUCAGAUGCGAAAUCCUACAGCUUAACUGUAGAACUGCAUUUGAAACUGCUAACCUAGAGUAUGGGAGGGGGAGAUGGAAUUAGUGGUGUAGGGGUAAAAUCCGUAGAUAUCACUAGGAAUACCGAAAGCGAAGGCGAUCUCCUGGAACAUAACUGACGCUAAGGCGUGAAAGCGUGGGGAGCAAACAGGAUUAGAAACCCUUGUAGUCC